CUGCUUGUUGUUUUUUGUUGCAAAAAAAUCUAGUAUAAUAAUAUUUAAAUUUACAUAUAUUUUUCACGUUUUCAAUGCCAAUUGUGUGUAACGGCGAAGUUUCCCACUACCCGUGAAUGCCUCUUUUGUACGUCUCUGGCUGACUCCUGAAUCUCCGCCCACUCUCUGCUUGAUCCCUGCCGAGUGAACGAGAUCUUUGGUUUUGCCUUUGCUGACUGCUGAUCUGAUCGUCUCAAGUCUGGUGACCUGCUGCAGAAAACCCUCUCCCUCUAUCGUUGACAAGCAAUUAACAAGCAAUUUCAGUCUGUCCUAUCACUCUCCCUCUCCCUGCUCCAUCUUUUUUGACAAGCCAUUCUAUCUUCUAUCAUUUCUCCGCCAUGAGCUCUAUCUAAUUUUGACAAGCUUAAACCUGUGUUGACAAGAAAUCUAAGUUUGACAAGAAAUCUAAGUUUGACAAGAAACCAAGUUUUUGGAAAUUGAAGUUACCACAACUUCGUCGAUCUGUUUUCAGAAAUCUGAGAGAUCUCUGCUCUCACUGCUCCUUCUUUCCUGUCGUUAAACUCUCAUAUCCACUCAUUUUACUGGAAAUUACAAGUAGAACGUUGAAUAUACAGUUGUAGAAUUACAGUACAGUAGAACUCGCAGUAGAAACUACUUACACAGCCCUACAUUUGUCAUUUUAAUUUUGCAUUACACUUUGGAAUAAACAUUGAUUGGCUGUUUGGCUUACAGGUGCAAUUACUUUGAUAAAUUAUAUAAAAUAUACACCUCUUCGUAAAGGUUUAUUUGUAAUAAGACAAUCUGGUUAUUUUGUAAUUUAUACAUUCAGACUGCUGUAUUUACAUAAAUAUUAAAUUAGAUUCAAAUACAUUUUUCAAGUC